rnacentral:rRNA from 1 species
CCUACGGGAGGCAGCAGUGGGGAAUAUUGCACAAUGGGGGAAACCCUGAUGCAGCGACGCCGCGUGAACGAUGAAGGACUUCGGUAUGUAAAGCUCUAUCAGCAGGGAAGAAAAUGACGGUAACUGACUAAUAAGAGCCGGCUAACUACGUGCCAGCAGCCGCGGUAAUACGUAGGGGGCAAGCGUUCUCCGGAAUAACUGGGUUUAAAGCGUGCGUAGGCGGUCUGGAAAGUCUGCGGUAAAAGCCCGGGGCUCAACCCCGGCGAGCCGUUGAAACUGUCGGACUAGAGACAGCGAGAAGUACGCGGAAUGCGCGGUGUAGCGGUGAAAUGCGUAGAUAUCGCGAAGAACACCGAUGGCGAAGGCAGCGUACCGGCGCCAGACUGACGCUGAGGCACGAAAGCGUGGGGAUCGAACAGGAUUAGAUACCCUUGUAGUC